AGUUUGAUCCUGGCUCAGAACGAACGCUGGCGGCAGGCUUAACACAUGCAAGUCGAACGCCCCGCAAGGGGAGUGGCAGACGGGUGAGUAACGCGUGGGAACAUACCCUUUUCUACGGAAUAGCUCUGGGAAACUGGAAUUAAUACCGUAUACGCCCUACGGGGGAAAGAUUUAUCGGGGAAGGAUUGGCCCGCGUUGGAUUAGCUAGUUGGUGGGGUAAAGGCCUACCAAGGCGACGAUCCAUAGCUGGUCUGAGAGGAUGAUCAGCCACAUUGGGACUGAGACACGGCCCAAACUCCUACGGGAGGCAGCAGUGGGGAAUAUUGGACAAUGGGCGCAAGCCUGAUCCAGCAAUGCCGCGUGAGUGAAGAAGGCCUUCGGGUUGUAAAGCUCUUUUGUCAGGGAAGAAACGGCUGUGGCUAAUAUCCACGGCUAAUGACGGUACCUGAAGAAUAAGCACCGGCUAACUACGUGCCAGCAGCCGCGGUAA
rnacentral:rRNA from 1 species